AGUAAAAGUCGUAACAAGGUCUCCGUUGGUGAACCAGCGGAGGGAUCAUUACUGAGUUUACGCUCUACAACCCUUUGUGAACAUACCUAUAACUGUUGCUUCGGCGGGUAGGGUCUCCGCGACCCUCCCGGCCUCCCGCCCCCGGGCGGGUCGGCGCCCGCCGGAGGAUAACCAAACUCUGAUUUAACGACGUUUCUUCUGAGUGGUACAAGCAAAUAAUCAAAACUUUUAACAACGGAUCUCUUGGUUCUGGCAUCGAUGAAGAACGCAGCGAAAUGCGAUAAGUAAUGUGAAUUGCAGAAUUCAGUGAAUCAUCGAAUCUUUGAACGCACAUUGCGCCCGCCAGCAUUCUGGCGGGCAUGCCUGUUCGAGCGUCAUUUCAACCCUCAAGCUCUGCUUGGUGUUGGGGCCCUACAGCCGAUGUAGGCCCUCAAAGGUAGUGGCGGACCCUCUCGGAGCCUCCUUUGCGUAGUAACUUUACGUCUCGCACUGGGAUCCGGAGGGACUCUUGCCGUAAAACCCCCAAUUUUCCAAAGGUUGACCUCGGAUCAGGUAGGAAUACCCGCUGAACUUAAGCAUAUCA
rnacentral:rRNA from 1 species